UACGUAGGUGGCAAGCGUUGUCCGGAUUUAUUGGGCGUAAAGCGAACGCAGGCGGGAGAAUAAGUCAGCUGUGAAAGCCCUCAGCUUAACUGGGGAAUUGCAGCUGAAACUAUUUUUCUUGAGUGCAGGAGAGGAGAGUGGAACUCCAUGUGUAGCGGUGGAAUGCGUAGAUAUAUGGAAGAACACCAGUGGCGAAGGCGGCUCUCUGGUCUGUUACUGACGCUGAGGCUCGAAAGCAUGGGUAGCGAACAGG
rnacentral:rRNA from 1 species